AUUAAUACUGCUUAGAGUGCACUGUCAAGUUUAAAAGAAAAAUUAGCCAUCUAGCCGCCCUUAGCCCACUGUCUUGCACUUCAGAAUAUUUCCUUUAAAAACAUGAUUCUUUAAAAACAUAACGAGAACAAACGUGUUCUCAUUAUCCUUUAGCCCCAAAUUUCCUUCAGAACUUAAAAAAUCAUGCGCAAGCCAUAUUCAAGAUGUGUUAUCUCAAGAAAGUCCAGAACCCAGGCAGGAGUAUCAUGAAAACAUCAAGUCCACACCCUCCUACACAUCAAUUUCAGCGGAACCAGAAAAGUACAUUGAUUUUUUUAUAACGAAAUCCAAAGUAUUCAGAAAGAAAUAGGGGCGGUUUCCAAGGGUUUUGUUCACAGUCCCUUUCUGGAGCCGGCGUCCCUCUAUGAGAAGGGUUGGCAUUCUUUCGGUCUGUCCUGGGUGCUGGGCUCCGCUCAGCAACUGUCCUCGCGGGUCGCGGUUCCCCGCCUCACCGGCUGACCAAUGGUUGAUGCCUCUCUCCUCGCCAUCCCGCCUUCCGAUGCCACAAUAACCAAUAGAAAUGAACGUAUGGAGUCCAGUAACCAAUGGGAACUGGGGGAGGCGGAGGCGGGUCCUCCCGCGGUGCAAGCUGGGCUUCUGCUCCGUUGCCCAGGAGCCGAAGCCGCCGAGCCGCCGCCCGCAGCCGUGGUCCCUACAAUGAGUUGCUAUUUCUGGCUGCCUCAUGAAGAAUUAACAGUGGGAAUGAAAGUCGGCUCUCAGCAGCCAGUGCAGAAGUCCAACUGAGAAAAGAUGGUGACUCAGACUCCUCCGCGGGCAGUAGCACUGCAGAUGGUAAGACAUGGGUCGAACUACAACACAGCUUUUGGAGGUUAAACACUCAGGUUUUGGAGAUGACUUAGGGAUGUGACGAGAGAAGGACCCAGGUUAGCUUAGGUUUGUAAUGAUAGCUGUAGUCCUUUAGUGGAGAGAAGCCCCUUAGUGAGGUCAGGAAAAUAGUUAAGAGUCACAGAUGGAGGCAUUGUACUUUUGAACAUGUGAAUCUGAAGUGAUUUGUCCAAUAGGGAGAGGGAAUGUUUGAAUCUGAAAGUCAGCUGUAGAGAUGACCUAAGGAACUGGAGUGUAGAUACGGGAAAGGGAGCCAAUGAGGAUGGCUGGGACAUUGAGUGUAGAAGGUGGAAAAGAGAGUGCUUUCUGAAGGCAGGUGGUAAUGCUGUAGUCAAGUAGGGAUGGGAUGCAAAUUAACUGUUGGAUGUAGGAUGUUCACUAUUAUUGGAUGUAGGACAAUCACUAUUAUUGAUGAUCUUGGCAAAAGCUGUCCCGGGAAAAUAUGACUAGUGUAGGUUUCAAAGCAAAUGAUUGCGAGUGGAGAUUACAUUCCAAGUUAACUCUCUGGAUGACUCUCUGGCUUGGAAACCUAGGCUGUAGGUGUGCAGAACUUUGAGUCAGGCAUCCCCUCCUCCAUCAGGGCGUCUCCACUGACGGGAACCUGCCAGGAGGGGGCGCAGUGGCAGGAGUACAACCCUGAGCACCGAGAGAGUGUGAGAAAGAAGCCAAGUGAAAGGGUUAGUUUUCAAACUGGGCAGAAAUGUGUCUCCAGGGUUACCAGGGCUAGGAGGGUAAAACAUGGGAUAGUUACAGGUGGGGUGAGCAUACUAAGGAAUAAAAACUAGAUAGUUGUGCUAGCUUUCCA
ensembl:lncRNA